CGAGAGGAGGGAGUUAUGGUUCUCGUUUGAAAACCAAGGGGCAACAUAACAAGAAAGUCUUUGGCAACACUCCUGAGACGGGACAACAAGCAAAUGACAGUAGACUUCGUGUAAGCAUUCGACCUGCAAAAACGUUCUCAAGAAGCAGUCGAGUUGGUGUUUUUAGGCUCGUUUCCUUUUGGACCGCUUGGAAUAGGUUUCUUUUCUCUGGAACUAUUUAUUGGUUCCUCGCGCAGAAGCGGAUUGGUUCAAACCCAAGAAGAAAGGGCCAGUCAAGGUGGAAGUUUGAAUUGAUCAUGACAUCCUUUGACCUGUGGGGGAGCAGUGAACUAUUCUCCUCUGGAGUAUGGGCCCUGAGAAACCUGAUCCACAGGAUGCCGACCACCCCUCCCUCCUCCCUCUAUGCCCACCCACCAGCUUUCCCGGCCUUUUCCUCCACCACACCAC
rnacentral:lncRNA from 1 species